UGGGGAAUUUUGGACAAUGGGGGAAACCCUGAUCCAGCCAUCCCGCGUGUGCGAUGAAGGCCUUCGGGUUGUAAAGCACUUUUGGCAGGAAAGAAACGUCAUGGGUUAAUACCCCGUGAAACUGACGGUACCUGCAGAAUAAGCACCGGCUAACUACGUGCCAGCAGCCGCGGUAAUACGUAGGGUGCAAGCGUUAAUCGGAAUUACUGGGCGUAAAGCGUGCGCAGGCGGUUCGGAAAGAAAGAUGUGAAAUCCCAGAGCUCAACUUUGGAACUGCAUUUUUAACUACCGGGCUAGAGUGUGUCAGAGGGAGGUGGAAUUCCGCGUGUAGCAGUGAAAUGCGUAGAUAUGCGGAGGGACACCGAUGGCGAAGGCAGCCUCCUGGGAUAACACUGACGCUCAUGCACGAAAGCGUGGGGAGCAAACAGG
rnacentral:rRNA from 1 species